UGAGGAAUAUUGGUCAAUGGACGAGAGUCUGAACCAGCCAAGUAGCGUGCAGGAUGACGGCCCUAUGGGUUGUAAACUGCUUUUGUUUGGGAAUAAUCGACAUUACGUGUAAUGUUUUGCAUGUACCAUUCGAAUAAGGACCGGCUAAUUCCGUGCCAGCAGCCGCGGUAAUACGGAAGGUUCGGGCGUUAUCCGGAUUUAUUGGGUUUAAAGGGAGCGUAGGCCGUUUGGUAAGCGUGUUGUGAAAUGUAGGAGCUCAACUUCUAGAUUGCGGCGCGAACUGUCAGACUUGAGUGCGCACAACGUAGGCGGAAUUCAUGGUGUAGCGGUGAAAUGCUUAGAUAUCAUGAAGAACUCCGAUUGCGAAGGCAGCUUACGGGAGCGCAACUGACGCUGAAGCUCGAAGGUGCGGGUAUCGAACAGG
rnacentral:rRNA from 1 species